GUACAACAAGCAAACUGUGGGGAAAAUAAAACAUGGGUUUCAAAAUUUGGUCAAUAAACAAAAUUUAAAGCUACAUCAAGUAAGAAGAAUCAAUCUUCACCAUCAGAUACUCGAACAAACGAUAAUCCACAAUUUAAAAUUCUCUUGUUCGAUUUUAAUAGAAAAUCGAUAAACAAUCAAGAAUUACAUAACUCCUCUGACAACUACACAGAAGGGAAAGAACAAGAAAAGGGAACUUAAAUUCUAGUUAAGCUAAGAAAAGGGUCUUGGUUUCUAGGGCUGCCCCAAUUAAUCCUCUCUUUGCGGCAUUUGGAAUCCUUUGCACCACUAAAGCACCCAAGAAAACAACCCAUUAAGUGCUAUUCAAGAAACGCCGACAUAGUAUCCAUGGAUAGGAGAGUGAGAAGACAAAGACGAACUUAGAUAGACAAAAGCGGCAAAAAAGGAUGGAGACGAAAGCGUCGAAAAAUGCCCAGAGUUGAAAAUCGUCAUUUUGAGGAGAAGGAAAGCGUUUUUACAUUGCUUAAUGAAG
rnacentral:lncRNA from 1 species